rnacentral:lncRNA from 1 species
CUAUUACUCGCCCUGAGGUGGAAGGGGGGAGACUCUUUAAAGUGCGUCAGAGGGAGGUGAGCGCCUGGGAACCCGGAGGCCUGGAUCCCGGCCGAGUGGAACGGAGUCGGCGCCGCCGCCUCGGCCGAGCCUUCCGCCGCCCGCCGGGCCGCCCGACUUCUCCGCGCCUUCGCCCCUCGCUCCCAGCUCACUCGCUCCUGCGACGCCCGCUGCGGCUUCUCCUCCUCCUCCUCCUUCGCCUCCUCCUCUUCCUCCGGUUUCUUCUUCUUCUCCUCCUCCUCUUCUUCCUCCUCCUCCUCCUCCUCUUCUUCCUCCUCCUCUUUCCCCACCUACUCCCCCUCAGCCACCGCCUCCUCCUCCACCAGCACCACUCCCUCCGGGGCACCCCGGUCCCUGCAGAGUCCCUGGCCGGCGCCGCCUCCGCUGCGGCCCCCUGAAUCCGGAGCCUGCUGCGCCCAAGCUGGUAGGACAGACGGACAAACAGAUUCCUUUCGCCUAGCGCUCCUUACGCGGCCCUGCGUCGGGGGAACUGGGAUCGUCCCAGGAGCACCGCGAGGGGAUGUGUGUGUUGAGAAGACACCAUCGGGGGUCCCAAACUAACUAUGACAUGCACACCACUCCAUGCUGACCUGCAAUGGACAGGUAAUGUGAACAAAAGAAAAUAUUUAUUGUAUAACGCUGCUGAGAUCAGGUGGUUGU